rnacentral:rRNA from 1 species
GAUGAACGCUGGCGGCGUGCCUAAUACAUGCAAGUCGAGCGAACGGACGAGAAGCUUGCUUCUCUGAUGUUAGCGGCGGACGGGUGAGUAACACGUGGAUAACCUACCUAUAAGACUGGGAUAACUUCGGGAAACCGGAGCUAAUACCGGAUGAUAUUUUGAACCGCAUGGUUCAAAAGUGAAAGACGGUCUUGCUGUCACUUAUAGAUGGAUCCGCGCUGCAUUAGCUAGUUGGUAAGGUAACGGCUUACCAAGGCAACGAUGCAUAGCCGACCUGAGAGGGUGAUCGGCCACACUGGAACUGAGACACGGUCCAGACUCCUACGGGAGGCAGCAGUAGGGAAUCUUCCGCAAUGGGCGAAAGCCUGACGGAGCAACGCCGCGUGAGUGAUGAAGGUCUUCGGAUCGUAAAACUCUAUUAUUAGGGAAGAACAUAUGUGUAAGUAACUGUGCACAUCUUGACGGUACCUAAUCAGAAAGCCACGGCUAACUACGUGCCAGCAGCCGCGGUAAUACGUAGGUGGCAAGCGUUAUCCGGAAUUAUUGGGCGUAAAGCGCGCGUAGCGGUUUUUUAAGUCUGAUGUGAAAGCCCACGGCUCAACCGUGGAGGGUCAUUGGAAACUGGAAAACUUGAGUGCAGAAGAGGAAAGUGGAAUUCCAUGUGUAGCGGUGAAAUGCGCAGAGAUAUGGAGGAACACCAGUGGCGAAGGCGACUUUCUGGUCUGUAACUGACGCUGAUGUGCGAAAGCGUGGGGAUCAAACAGGAUUAGAUACCCUGGUAGUCCACGCCGUAAACGAUGAGUGCUAAGUGUUAGGGGGUUUCCGCCCCUUAGUGCUGCAGCUAACGCAUUAAGCACUCCGCCUGGGGAGUACGACCGCAAGGUUGAAACUCAAAGGAAUUGACGGGGACCCGCACAAGCGGUGGAGCAUGUGGUUUAAUUCGAAGCAACGCGAAGAACCUUACCAAAUCUUGACAUCCUUUGACAACUCUAGAGAUAGAGCCUUCCCCUUCGGGGGACAAAGUGACAGGUGGUGCAUGGUUGUCGUCAGCUCGUGUCGUGAGAUGUUGGGUUAAGUCCCGCAACGAGCGCAACCCUUAAGCUUAGUUGCCAUCAUUAAGUUGGGCACUCUAAGUUGACUGCCGGUGACAAACCGGAGGAAGGUGGGGAUGACGUCAAAUCAUCAUGCCCCUUAUGAUUUGGGCUACACACGUGCUACAAUGGACAAUACAAAGGGCAGCGAAACCGCGAGGUCAAGCAAAUCCCAUAAAGUUGUUCUCAGUUCGGAUUGUAGUCUGCAACUCGACUACAUGAAGCUGGAAUCGCUAGUAAUCGUAGAUCAGCAUGCUACGGUGAAUACGUUCCCGGGUCU